CCUACGGGAGGCAGCAGUAGGGAAUCUUCCACAAUGGACGAAAGUCUGAUGGAGCAACGCCGCGUGAGUGAAGAAGGGUUUCGGCUCGUAAAGCUCUGUUGGUAGUGAAGAAAGAUAGAGGUAGUUACUUGCCUAUCUUCGACGGAAAUUACUUCGACAGCCACGGCUAACUACGUGCCAGCAGCCGCGGUAAUACGUAGGUGGCAAGCGUUGUCCGGAUUGAUUGGGGGUAAAGCGAGUGCAGGCGGCUCAAUAAGUCUGAUGUGAAUGCCUGGGGCACAACCGGAGAAUUGCAUCAGAAACUGUUGAACUUGAGUGCAGAAGAGGAGAGUGGAAUUCCAGGUGUAGCGGUGGAAUGCGUAGAUAUAUGGAAGAACACCAGUGGCGAAGGCGGCCCUCUGGUCUGCAACUGACGCUGAGGCGCGAAAGCGUGGGGAGCGAACAGGAUUAGAUACCCGAGUAGUC
rnacentral:rRNA from 1 species